UCCUGUAGUUCAGAUGGUAAAGAAUCUGCCUGCAAUGCAGGAGACCCAGGUUCAAUCCCUGGGUCAGGAA
rnacentral:tRNA from 1 species